rnacentral:rRNA from 1 species
AGCGAACGCUGGCGGCAGGCCUAACACAUGCAAGUCGAACGGACCCUUCGGGGUUAGUGGCGGACGGGUGAGUAACACGUGGGAACGUGCCUUUAGGUUCGGAAUAGCUCCUGGAAACGGGUGGUAAUGCCGAAUGUGCCCUUCGGGGGAAAGAUUUAUCGCCUUUAGAGCGGCCCGCGUCUGAUUAGCUAGUUGGUGGGGUAAUGGCCCACCAAGGCUACGAUCAGUAGCUGGUCUGAGAGGAUGACCAGCCACAUUGGGACUGGGACACGGCCCAAACUCCUACGGGAGGCAGCAGUGGGGAAUCUUGCGCAAUGGGCGAAAGCCUGACGCAGCCAUGCCGCGUGUAUGAUGAAGGUCUUAGGAUUGUAAAAUACUUUCACCGGUGAAGAUAAUGACUGUAGCCGGAGAAGAAGCCCCGGCUAACUUCGUGCCAGCAGCCGCAGUAACAC